rnacentral:rRNA from 1 species
UGAGUACGAGAUGCUACGGCAUCGAAGCAGUCUAUGUCAUACUUCCAAGAAAAGCUUGCACUGUCAUAAACAAAGAAUGCCUGUACCAUAACCGACACAGGUGGGUAGGUAGAGUAUACUAAGGGGCGCGAGAUAACUCUCUCUAAGGAACUCGGCAAAAUGACUCCGUAACUUCGGGAGAAGGAGUGCCUUAUUUCUAAGGUUGCAAUAACAAGAUCCAAGCAACUGUUUACCAAAAACACAGGUCUCCGCUAAGUCGUAAGACGAUGUAUGGGGGCUGACGCCUGCCCAGUGCCAGAAGGUUAAAGAAGUUGGUUAGCAUUAGCGAAGCUGAUAACUGAAGCCCUGGUGAACGGCGGCCGUAACGAUAACGGUCCUAAGGUAGCGAAAUUCCUUGUCGGGUAAGUUCCGACCCUCACGAAAGGCGUAAUGAUUUGGAUACUGUCUCGGAGAGGGGCUCGGUGAAAUAGACUUGUCUGUGAAGAUGCGGACUACCUGCACCUGGACAGAAAGACCCUAUGAAGCUUUACUGUAACUUGAGAUUGAAAUUGGACUUUAUUUGCGCAGUAUAGGUGGGAGGCGUUGAGAAUAAUCUUGCGGGAUUGUUGGAGCCAUCAGUGAGAUACCACUCUUGUAAUGUUAGAUUUCUAACUUUGUAUCAUUAUCUGGUCAAAGAACAGUUUCAGGCGGGCAGUUUGACUGGGGCGGUCGCCUCCCAAAGGGUAACGGAGGCGCACAAAGGUUUCCUCUGAACGGGUAGAAAUCGUAUCUAGAGUGUAAAGGCAUAAGGAAGCUUGACUGUGAGACCUACAAGUCGAGCAGGGACGAAAGUCGGUCUUAGUGAUCUGACGGUGCUGAGUGGAAAGGCCGUCACUCAACGGAUAAAAGUUACUCUAGGAUAACAGGCUGAUCUCCCCCAAGAGUUCACAUCGACGGGGAGGUUUGGCACCUCGAUGUCGGCUCAUCGCAUCCUGGGGCGGUAGUCCGUCCCAAGGGUUGGGCUGUUCGCCCAUGAAAGCGGUACGCGAGCUGGGUUCAGAACGUCGUGAGACAGUUCGGUCCAUAUCCGGUGUAGGCGUUAGAAUAUUGAGAGGAGCCUUCUCUAGUACGAGAGGACCGAGAAGGACAUACCUCUGGUGUACCAGUUAUCGUGCCAACGGUAAACGCUGGGUAGCUAUGUAUGGAGUGGAUAACCGCUGAAAGCAUCUAAGUGGGAAGCCCACCUCAAGAUAAGUAUUCUCA